GGCCUGUUAGCUCAGUCCAUUAAGUGUGGUUCUGAUAACACCAAGGCCACGGGUUCAAUUCCCGUUCGGUCCC
rnacentral:tRNA from 1 species